UUCGGGGAACGAUAACGGCGUCGAGCGGCGGACGGGUGAGUAAUGCCUAGGAAAUUGCCCUGAUGUGGGGGAUAACCAUUGGAAACGAUGGCUAAUACCGCAUGAUGCCUACGGGCCAAAGAGGGGGACCUUCGGGCCUCUCGCGUCAGGAUAUGCCUAGGUGGGAUUAGCUAGUUGGUGAGGUAAGGGCUCACCAAGGCGACGAUCCCUAGCUGGUCUGAGAGGAUGAUCAGCCACACUGGAACUGAGACACGGUCCAGACUCCUACGGGAGGCAGCAGUGGGGAAUAUUGCACAAUGGGCGCAAGCCUGAUGCAGCCAUGCCGCGUGUAUGAAGAAGGCCUUCGGGUUGUAAAGUACUUUCAGUCGUGAGGAAGGCGGCGUCGUUAAUAGCGGCGUUGUUUGACGUUAGCGACAGAAGAAGCACCGGCUAACUCCGUGCCAGCAGCCGCGGUAAUACGGAGGGUGCGAGCGUUAAUCGGAAUUACUGGGCGUAAAGCGCAUGCAGGUGGUUUGUUAAGUCAGAUGUGAAAGCCCGGGGCUCAACCUCGGAAUAGCAUUUGAAACUGGCAGACUAGAGUACUGUAGAGGGGGGUAGAA
rnacentral:rRNA from 1 species